GACGGAGGGUGCUAGCGUUGUUCGGAAUUACUGGGCGUAAAGGGCGCGUAGGCGGCCUGGUAAGUCGGCUGUGAAAGCCCGGGGCUCAACCCCGGAACGGCAGCCGAGACGGCCAGGCUGGAGACCGGGAGAGGAGAGUGGAAUAGCCAGUGUAGAGGUGAAAUUCGUAGAUAUUAGGAAGAACACCAGUGGCGAAGGCGGCUCACUGGCUCGGUACUGACGCUGAGGCGCGAAAGCGUGGGGAGCAAACAGG
rnacentral:rRNA from 1 species